UGGCGGGGGUAGGUUAGGGUAUCCAAGGAAACCGCCGCUGCCGGUCUGCCGGGGUGGGGUUAGUUCAGGGCAUCCAAGGAUUACCGGCGCUGCCGGGCCUGCGAAGAACAAAACCAAAUCCUGCUAAGCACAGCACUGCACAGCACAGCACAACAGGACCAGGCGACCAGCAAUGAGGAUUUGAUCACGGCUAUGACACAUCCAUUUGUUUGGGGUUUCCAUUGAUUUCUGCUUAUGCAGCACCUUCAUUGUAUUGGCUAGUGUGCUAGAUUGAUUAGCGUCAGAAAUUUUGUGGAUCUACUACUGCGGUAACGAGCUGGUGGCAUCAGAAAAUAUACUCCGUUAUUUACUAGGAUGGGACCUGACGAAUGACCUUUAGUCCUGUAGACCUAGUGAUGGUAUUUCAUGGAACACUAUUCAUGAUCUUUUGGUGCGCUAGGGCGCUUUAAAAGUGACUAGUAGCAGUGCAUUGGUUGUGUGUGAAGUAGCUAGUAUAGUUGUUUUAGAUGUAUAUGUAAUAUGCACAACAUGAUAAAAAUUGUAUCCAAGCAGCUCGUGCUUGCUUCCCUGUGCCACCGCCCCCCACCCCCCCUCCUGGUAACAACCAUCCUUAUUGGAAUUGAAUGAGUAUAAUGUGGCAUGUGGACGAUGUUCGUGUUUGUGGACCAUUUGAAUAUAAAUUGUGGGAAUUAUGAAUGAACCAGUUGGAAGAACUAGUGACUCCCAGCUACAUGUAAAAUAUAUUGUUUCUUGCUCUUCAUUAUCCCCAAUACUGCAAACUAAGGAGCUGAACGCCGACUGUUGUCGUUGAGCUCCUUUUCCUUUUUGCCAUAAUUAUCAUAUUUUCAUAUGUUUCGUGGUUAUGUGGUCUGAGCUCUCUCAGCUGCCAGUUCAGGAUUCAUAAUACGGUACCAGAUGGACUCAGUGAGAUAAAGGGCAGAUCGCUCUCUAACCUUUGAGCUUCUCCUGUCGAGAAUAGAUUAUGAUCAUACCAAUUUAGUGGGUGAAGCCCUUUACUUGAUUGCUCCCUAUGCAGGACUCCUUUGCAUUCCUUUGUAGUUUUUUAACUGACAAACCUAUCAGAGUUCUUAAGACUUCCUUUAGAUAGCAAGAUGUGACUCCUUACAAUUCAAAUGGUUGUCAAAUGAGUAUAAUACUUGGAUUCUUACAACCAUCAGAUGCUGUCGUCAACUCCUGUAACAACCAUCUGACAGACUAGGAUUCUUACACAUCUAAUCUAGCAGGGUGAUGCUUGUAUGGUUUCUAACAAUUCUGAUGCCCCUGUUUUGGCUUUCUGACUGAUCAGGUCCUGGUUAAACAGGAGUUGCCCAGGAUACAUAUUUAAACUAAUGUAACAGGAUGAAGUAUCCAUCCCAGUGACAUCCUGCGUGGACUCUGGAAGGCAAUUAUCCUUCCCAAAUCCCAAGCCAGAAAGUAAACAUAUAUACAAGAGAGGAAAGACAAGGUUUCUUAUUUCUUCCUUUCUCUUUCGUCACUUUGGUCGAUGGUUUAGUUCAAAGCUUCUUUGUGAUAAUCAGGAGCGUAGACGUGUUAAUGUGAAACUAGCUACAUAGAAUAGUACUCAUAGGAAAUGCUAAAGCUAUCGAGCUCUUCACUGAUAAACUGACAUUAUUAAGGCCCACAGCUGAUCAAGAUUCAGAGCAAAAAAACCAAUUGGAUGAUCGUUUAAUGCUUUCAUUCCACCCGCACAACAACAAAUCACAGCUAUUGGUUACUGUAGCUAUAUUGUAUCAAUUGAAAGGUCAGAGUCGUACUAGAAAAGUUAAACUUUCCUCAUACAUACAGCUCAAAUUCCCUUUCAGCUGCUUUCUCUUUGAAGCUGAUGUUGUCCAUCUGUCUUGUCAUAUUCUAUUCCCUUAGAUUUUUUGGUAAAAAAACUUUGUUAAGUCCACUAGUGACUCAGUUUUGCUUCUGCCCCAUUAAAAUUAAUAAACAUUCAUUUCAAAAUUUGCUAAAAAGUAUCUGGCUUCAUUUCAAAAUGUGCUAAAAAGUAUCUGGCAUAGUUUAGUUUUAUUUUGUUAGAUAAUCUUGAAAGAAGCCUAUGCUAGAAAACAUAAUGAUCCUUACUUUGAAUUAGUGAACUCUGUUAUCGAUUAUGAGCUUUGUGGUUGUUCCAAAGCUGACCCCCAUGAUUAUUGCUAGAAAUGUUAGCUUAGCUGAGUUGUAAGUGCAUCAACCUGGUUUAAAACUUGACUAGCUGCUGCUAGCUAGUUGAAAGUAGCCGGGAGAUGAUUUGAGCUAUCUGAAAAAUUUAUGUUCUUUCUGCUUGCCUUUUAACCUAUCCUUUUUGAGAUUUUUGACACUGGAAAUGUACUACCUGCCUCUGGAAAUGUACACCCCACCUUUAUUUAUUGUUACGCUUGGAGCUCUCUCAGGAUAAUUUGCUAAGUUCCAUCCAGUUCAUACUCUGUGUUCCAGUUUAAGUGAUUAUUGUAGUUGCAACUUUCUGAUCCCCCUGUGCAUCAAUGUAAAGCACAUUUUUUGUUUGAAAACUUAGCAAGUUUUGACUAAAAAUUAGUUAAUUAUGUGUGUGGUUAGUGUUCAAAAGUUCCAUUGAUAGAUCUGUAUUCAAAAUAUUUUGUAAAAAAUUAACAAUAUAUUGUAAGAGAAAUUGAAGGUCAAAAUUGACGUUUGAAUGCCUUCUAAUACAAAAUACACCUUAGAUUGACGGAUAGAGAAGCUUGUAAUAUGUUCAACUAUUAUGCAAAUUGGGUCAUCGUUAUCUUUAGCAUGCAUAAUACUUUCUUGUUUGGACAUAGUUGUACCAAAUCUACUAAUGUAUUAGUUUAUUCUCUCUGUUGGGAUCUAGCAUAUUAGUGAUUGGGCGAUCCUGCUGCAUUCCUGACUAAUUACAAUCAAUCUUGAACUACAUUCAGAUUCGAAGUACCUAUUCCUUGCCCUGGUGGAUCUCUUUUAUGAUUUAACAAAAUAAAUGCUUGCAAAAUAAUUUAACUUAUAUUUGUUCCGACUGAUUUGUUUAUUAGUUCAGCUCUCAUAUUUGGAAUCUGAAAACCCGAGGAUCUGGUAGUGUUUUCUGUAUUAUGUUUGAUUAAAUUCUUAGCAAAUUGUUACUGUGACCGACGGAGGAACAGCCCUGUGUUCUGCCUGUUAGUUGUACUGUGAUCAAUUAUAUGAAUCUAGCGAUUCUGCCAGCCUUUUCUGCAGCAGCAGAUUUGCAGCUUUUUCAUUGUGCUUGGUGCAAUUAUCAGGUUCACCAACUCCUAUGGUGCUAGGAUGGGGUCAAUGUGCUGAAAGAUCAUAUUAAUGUUGCUGCUAGUGCUUGCCAUUCGCAUGAUGCUGCUGCGGAGCUGCUACUCAGUGUAAAUAAUUUAAAUGUUUAGUCAGUCAGUAACGCGCUGUGGUUCAUCUAAGCUACAUGUCCAUUGCGUGCCUAGUUAGCUACAUACUUUUGCUCUGUCCUUUGUGGUACUUGGCAUAAAGAGUUCCAUGUAAUUGCCUUUUAUGCUUGUCGUGAAAAAGAAAAAUGAUAAUUGAUGCUUUGUUCCUGCUGAGUUGUUUGUGGGGCCUUUCAUGUAAUUCUUUUGUGGAAGCAUUGUUAUUGAUCAUUUCUUUUUAACUUGCAUAUAGUUUCAAUCUUGGAUGCAUGUGCUUCAGCUCAUUAUUGAUGUCUGAAACGUGUCCUUGGAUGACAUGAAAAAGUGAUAUCCCUGGGAGUAGAAAAACAGGAUGUUUCUCGAAGGAUUUGGUUUGCUGUGGUGUGCUGAUGAUUGUUCUUGCUGUUGAUUUUUGGAUGAAUUGCUCAAGUGGCUGGCAGCCGAGAUGAGGAUAUGGCAAAAUGCUGAUCGUCGUUGCCGAUAGAGACAGGAAUAGCAAAAUGAACAGAUGAACACGUUUGUGACCUCUGAUUGCAAGGGUAAGGUGGCAAGUGGAUUGUGUGCAGAGGUCCAACAAGGGAAUUCUCUUCGAGUGGUGGGUUAAAGUGGCUUAUCUUAAUGUGCAUCUGAUCCUCUCUCGGGCCUGCGACAGCGAGAUUCAAAUUAAAGUAUGACACCUCCUCGAUAAUGUUCCUGUUUCGCCGCUUUAUCCAUGAAAAAGCAAUGCCUCCUAUCUACCACCCAAGAAAGCCUUUGCAAGUGAAAUUUCCAACAUGGAAGAUUCUCUUGUGUGGGGCUGGUAAAUAAUUUGGCUUGGUUCUGGUCUGUUUUCGGCUAGGCACACUGGUGUCAUAAUCGAAAUGUCACAUGAAGGCUGGCAGGUGCGUCUGAAUCAAGUCCAUCGUUCAGUCUGUGGCCCGGGAGGAGCUAGCUGCUCUACGAAAAGAGAGGGAGAGGGUGGGGGAGAGUGAAAAUUUGACUGUGCACGCAUGUAUCGUUGGUAAAACUUCCUUUGUCGCGACUUGUGUGCCUGCAAACAGUAAAGUGAUUGUGCGAAUGCUGGAGCAUGAAUUUUAUAUAUGUAUGGCAUGAGGACGAAAAUCAUUUGGUGGCAGAAA